rnacentral:rRNA from 1 species
AUUGAACGCUGGCGGCAGGCCUAACACAUGCAAGUAGGACGCAGUUGCGAACGGGUGAGUAACGCGUAGGUAACUACCUAUUAGAGGGCGAUAACUAUUGGCAACGAUCGCUUAUACCGCAUACUAGUAGAUGGACCUGGGUUGUAUUAGCUAGUAGGUAGGGUAAUGGCCUACCUAGGCAACGAUACAUAGCCGACCUGAGAGGGUGAUCGGCCACACUGGGACUGAGACACGGCCCAGACUCCUACGGGAGGCAGCAGUAGGGAAUCUUCGGCAAUGGGGGGAACCCUGACCGAGCAACGCCGCGUGAGUGAAGAAGGUUUUCGGAUCGUAAAGCUCUGUUGUUAAGGAAGCGGUACUUAACCAGAAAGGGACGGCUAACUACGGGCAAGCAGCGGCGGUAAUA